rnacentral:snoRNA from 1 species
AGACCAAUGAUUACUUGCAAAAACAAAUCUUGUUGUAAUCUGAACAAAAUGAGUGACCAAACCACUUCUGUGAGCUAAGGUUC